rnacentral:rRNA from 1 species
AUGCAAAGGUGUUUAACCAAGGUGUGGGAUAUGUAUCAUGAGGAGAACCUUGGUAGAUUCCAAGACAAAGAGGCUCAUGAGAUAGAGAUUGAGAAACUGAAGAAGGAGCUGGAUUCUCUUGGCAAUCAGUACAGUCAGCUUGUGGAUGAUGUAUCCAAGCUGUUUGAUUACCAGGAUGGGCAGAGAUCCCAUGCCAUGGAUCUUACAAGCCAGGCAAUCAAUGAACUUAAGGAGAAGAAGCAUCAACUUGAGGAGCAGGCAAAGAUUGAGGUUCAAAUGGAGAAGCUUAAGCUGAAGAAAGAACAGAGGUGCAUCCUGCAGAGUCAACCUGAUAUCAUUCAAAACACCAGGGAGGCCAUGAAGGAGAUACAAGUGGAGAGGGACCUCCUUAAAGAAGAGAAGAAGAAGCUGAAGCAUGUCAUUUCUGAGCUACUCAAGGCUGGUCAUGGGUGCAAGGAAAAGUUGGACAAGAUCAAAGAAGUUGUCAUGGAGGAGUGA